UCAGUACAGAAGAGGGUGUGCAAAGACUGUAAUAUUUACAGGGCAAGGAGGAAAAGACAGUUGAUGGCUCCAGGAGCCGGGCCAGCAACUGUCAUGACCUUGGCUGGAAGAAGCUCAUUCUGAGGCAACAAUGACUUCGCCCAUGUCUUGGUUAAAAAUAAACAUGUGUGCUUGUGAGACAUUAUGGACCACAGAUGAAAGCAACACCUUCCCAGGGGAAGUCUGCCAAAUACAAACAGUCGGGAUUCUUGGAACCUAGUGAAGCAAGCCCUCUCACCAGUCAAGGACCACCUACAAUUCCAUUCACAUACUCUUCCACAUACACUCAGCACAGUGCCUGGAACACAGUGGUCAUUCAUCAGAAGCUGGCCCAGUGAAGCCCUUCAUUGGCAUUUGUGUGAUUCCUACAAUAAAAAUAGUUCAGCCAACCAGAGAAGGGUAUGGAGAAAAAGAGAACUAAACAAAAUGUUCAACCUACAACAAAGUAUUGCACAUCUUGACUCCAGAGAUGUCCACGUCUUUUUAAGUUUGUCCUAAAUUUGUAACAUUUAUAAACAAACAUAUAUAACAUGUGUCAUACAUAUAUCAUGUGUCGAGAUGGCAUAUAUUCUGCAAGGUACAUAGAAAUAAUUGUGCCCAGUUUUCAACUUUACAACUUUGAUAGUUCCUUUUAAGUUUUUAUUGAAUAUUUCUUCCAGGCAUUGCUGAGAGAGCUUGACACUGGAGCCAAACCCUUUCAUACUAUGGCAAAGCAUACACACUGCAGCUGAGCAGAUGGUCUUUUGGUACCGUCUUUGCUCUUUAUAUGGCUACAUGAUCUUACACAAAUUAUUAAAUAGGUCUAUGCCUUUGUUUCCUCAUCUGUAAAAUACUAUGAUGAUAAUAAAGGCUGUUCAGAAGAUUUGAUGAGUAGAAGAAAUGAUUUACUAAGAAUAAAAUAUGUAAAUAAUGUCCAGUAAUUGCAAAACUGUAAAUGUGCUACCUAUUACGUAAAACAAACUUAAUUUCUAAAGCCUAGCAACUAAUAUUAAAUAAUGAAUUAAACAUUAUUUUUCCUUUAUGUUACUGUGACACGUAUCUAAGCAAUAGAAAUAUUAAAUACACUCUUCCCUAAUAAAGAGGAUCACCAAUGAUGGAGGCCUGACAUUGCUUUUGGCUUAGGACCAUCAAUGAUGAGAGACCUGGCAUUGCCCCAGCGAAAGAUGACUAACGGUGACCUGAGACUGAUUCUUUCUUGGUUCUGAGAAGGGAUGUGUCUUCUCUCUCCUUGAGAGAAUAGAUAGCUAUAGAGUAAAAUUUUCCAUGGCUUAUUUUGUCUUUGAGUUGAUUACCUACAACAUUGCUUACAGUCAACUCCAUUGGAAGUAAUGCUGGGAAGAAUGGGAAAAUGAAUUUGGCUUUACCUGAAAACAAAUUAUUACCUGAUCUUAAUUAACUAGGCUGGAAAGUUUAAUAUCCUGAUUUUUGAUUCCAGAGACUACUUAGAACUUCUGAGAUUGGUGUGUGCAUAAAACCUCAACAAUAAUAUUAACAGAAAAAAAACACACAGGAUUCUCAGUCAUCUUAAUUUCUUCUUUCUGUGAUACAAUACACUGUCAAAAGAAAAUCAGAGGGGAGGCAGGGUUUAUUUCCUCUCACAGUUCCAGGUUACAGUCUAUCACCGCAUGGAAAGACCAAUAGUAGACUCUUGAGAGAUAUGGUCACAUAACAUACAUAAUCAGGCACAGAGAACAAUGAAUGUAUUUGUGCUUGUGGUCUGUUUGUCUUCUCUAUCCCUAUACAGUUCAUAAUUUCCCUCCUAUAGAAUGGUAUCACCUAUAGUGGGCAGAACUUUCCAUGUCAAUUAAUUUAAUCAAGAUGAUCCUUGUGGUGGUUUUGAGGGACCCUAAGGGCUUUUCCAGUCCCACACCCUCCUUACAAUUUCCCUCUCCUGCCUGAGGUCUAGGCUAGGCCAAGUUCCAUUCUCCACUCACAGGAACAUUCUUGAGUAAAAGA